CCUACGGGAGGCAGCAGUGAGGAAUAUUGGUCAAUGGGCGGGAGCCUGAACCAGCCAAGUCGCGUGAGGGAAGACGGUCCUAUGGAUUGUAAACCUCUUUAGUCGGGGAGCAAUGCCGGGCACGUGUGCCCGGAGGGAGAGUACCCGCAGAAUAAGCAUCGGCUAACCCCGUGCCAGCAGCCGCGGUAAUACGGAGGAUGCGAGCGUUAUCCGGAUUGAUUGGGUUUAAAGGGUGCGUAGGCGGAUUUUUAAGCCAGCGGUAAAAUGUCCGGGCUCAACCCGGGCCGGCCGUUGAAACUGGGGAUCUUGAGUGGGCGAGAAGUAUGCGGAAUGCGUGGUGUAGCGGUGAAAUGCAUAGAUAUCACGCAGAACUCCGAUUGCGAAGGCAGCAUACCGGCGCCCGACUGACGCUGAGGCACGAAAGCGUGGGGAUCGAACAGGAUUAGAUACCCUUGUAGUC
rnacentral:rRNA from 1 species